rnacentral:rRNA from 1 species
UUAAGCUGGAACUGCCGGGGGCUUGGGAACCCCGAAGUAGUUCGUGAGCUUCACAAUGUGGUGAAGCAAGAAGGUCCCGCCCUUCUCUUUGUGAUGGAAACCAAGAUCAGGGCAGAGAGAGUAGAGAAUCUGAAAUUCACUUUAGGGUUCUCUAGAUGUUUUACGAUGAAUAGUCAGGGACUUAGUGGAGGCAUAUGACUGUUUUGCUGA